rnacentral:rRNA from 1 species
UACGGAGGGUGCGAGCGUUGUCCGGAAUCACUGGGCGUAAAGGGCGCGUAGGCGGCCUGAUAAGUAGGGGGUGAAAUCCUGCGGCUUAACCGCAGGGCUGCCUUCUAAACUGUCAGGCUAGAGCACAGUAGAGGCAGGUGGAAUUCCCGGUGUAGCGGUGAAAUGCGUAGAUAUCUGGAGGAAUACCGGUGGCGAAGGCGGCAUCCUGGACCGAGAUUGACGCUGAUGAGCGAAAGCUAGGGGAGCAAACGGG